rnacentral:rRNA from 1 species
GGUUAAGCGACUAAGCGUACACGGUGGAUGCCCUGGCAGUCAGAGGCGAUGAAGGACGUGCUAAUCUGCGAUAAGCGUCGGUGAGGUGAUAUGAACCGUUAUAACCGGCGAUUUCCGAAUGGGGAAACCCAGUGUGUUUCGACACACUAUCAUUAACUGAAUCCAUAGGUUAAUGAGGCGAACCGGGGGAACUGAAACAUCUAAGUACCCCGAGGAAAAGAAAUCAACCGAGAUUCCCCCAGUAGCGGCGAGCGAACGGGGAGGAGCCCAGAGCCUGAAUCAGUGUGUGUGUUAGUGGAAGCGUCUGGAAAGGCGUGCGAUACAGGGUGACAGCCCCGUACACAAAAAUGCACAUAUUGUGAGCUCGAUGAGUAGGGCGGGACACGUGGUAUCCUGUCUGAAUAUGGGGGGACCAUCCUCCAAGGCUAAAUACUCCUGACUGACCGAUAGUGAACCAGUACCGUGAGGGAAAGGCGAAAAGAACCCCGGCGAGGGGAGUGAAAAAGAACCUGAAACCGUGUACGUACAAGCAGUGGGAGCCUCUUAAUGGGGUGACUGCGUACCUUUUGUAUAAUGGGUCAGCGACUUAUAUUCUGUAGCAAGGUUAACCGAAUAGGGGAGCCGAAGGGAAACCGAGUCUUAACUGGGCGUUAAGUUGCAGGGUAUAGACCCGAAACCCGGUGAUCUAGCCAUGGGCAGGUUGAAGGUUGGGUAACACUAACUGGAGGACCGAACCGACUAAUGUUGAAAAAUUAGCGGAUGACUUGUGGCUGGGGGUGAAAGGCCAAUCAAACCGGGAGAUAGCUGGUUCUCCCCGAAAGCUAUUUAGGUAGCGCCUCGUGAAUUCAUCUCCGGGGGUAGAGCACUGUUUCGGCAAGGGGGUCAUCCCGACUUACCAACCCGAUGCAAACUGCGAAUACCGGAGAAUGUUAUCACGGGAGACACACGGCGGGUGCUAACGUCCGUCGUGAAGAGGGAAACAACCCAGACCGCCAGCUAAGGUCCCAAAGUCAUGGUUAAGUGGGAAACGAUGUGGGAAGGCCCAGACAGCCAGGAUGUUGGCUUAGAAGCAGCCAUCAUUUAAAGAAAGCGUAAUAGCUCACUGGUCGAGUCGGCCUGCGCGGAAGAUGUAACGGGGCUAAACCAUGCACCGAAGCUGCGGCAGCGACACUAUGUGUUGUUGGGUAGGGGAGCGUUCUGUAAGCCUGUGAAGGUGUGCUGUGAGGCAUGCUGGAGGUAUCAGAAGUGCGAAUGCUGACAUAAGUAACGAUAAAGCGGGUGAAAAGCCCGCUCGCCGGAAGACCAAGGGUUCCUGUCCAACGUUAAUCGGGGCAGGGUGAGUCGACCCCUAAGGCGAGGCCGAAAGGCGUAGUCGAUGGGAAACAGGUUAAUAUUCCUGUACUUGGUGUUACUGCGAAGGGGGGACGGAGAAGGCUAUGUUGGCCGGGCGACGGUUGUCCCGGUUUAAGCGUGUAGGCUGGUUUUCCAGGCAAAUCCGGAAAACCAAGGCUGAGGCGUGAUGACGAGGCACUACGGUGCUGAAGUGACAAAUGCCCUGCUUCCAGGAAAAGCCUCUAAGCAUCAGGUAACAUCAAAUCGUACCCCAAACCGACACAGGUGGUCAGGUAGAGAAUACCAAGGCGCUUGAGAGAACUCGGGUGAAGGAACUAGGCAAAAUGGUGCCGUAACUUCGGGAGAAGGCACGCUGAUAUGUAGGUGAAGCGACUUGCUCGUGGAGCUGAAAUCAGUCGAAGAUACCAGCUGGCUGCAACUGUUUAUUAAAAACACAGCACUGUGCAAACACGAAAGUGGACGUAUACGGUGUGACGCCUGCCCGGUGCCGGAAGGUUAAUUGAUGGGGUUAGCGGUAACGCGAAGCUCUUGAUCGAAGCCCCGGUAAACGGCGGCCGUAACUAUAACGGUCCUAAGGUAGCGAAAUUCCUUGUCGGGUAAGUUCCGACCUGCACGAAUGGCGUAAUGAUGGCCAGGCUGUCUCCACCCGAGACUCAGUGAAAUUGAACUCGCUGUGAAGAUGCAGUGUACCCGCGGCAAGACGGAAAGACCCCGUGAACCUUUACUAUAGCUUGACACUGAACAUUGAGCCUUGAUGUGUAGGAUAGGUGGGAGGCUUUGAAGUGUGGACGCCAGUCUGCAUGGAGCCGACCUUGAAAUACCACCCUUUAAUGUUUGAUGUUCUAACGUUGGCCCGUAAUCCGGGUUGCGGACAGUGUCUGGUGGGUAGUUUGACUGGGGCGGUCUCCUCCUAAAGAGUAACGGAGGAGCACGAAGGUUGGCUAAUCCUGGUCGGACAUCAGGAGGUUAGUGCAAUGGCAUAAGCCAGCUUGACUGCGAGCGUGACGGCGCGAGCAGGUGCGAAAGCAGGUCAUAGUGAUCCGGUGGUUCUGAAUGGAAGGGCCAUCGCUCAACGGAUAAAAGGUACUCCGGGGAUAACAGGCUGAUACCGCCCAAGAGUUCAUAUCGACGGCGGUGUUUGGCACCUCGAUGUCGGCUCAUCACAUCCUGGGGCUGAAGUAGGUCCCAAGGGUAUGGCUGUUCGCCAUUUAAAGUGGUACGCGAGCUGGGUUUAGAACGUCGUGAGACAGUUCGGUCCCUAUCUGCCGUGGGCGCUGGAGAACUGAGGGGGGCUGCUCCUAGUACGAGAGGACCGGAGUGGACGCAUCACUGGUGUUCGGGUUGUCAUGCCAAUGGCACUGCCCGGUAGCUAAAUGCGGAAGAGAUAAGUGCUGAAAGCAUCUAAGCACGAAACUUGCCCCGAGAUGAGUUCUCCCUGACUCCUUGAGGGUCCUGAAGGAACGUUGAAGACGACGACGUUGAUAGGCCGGGUGUGUAAGCGCAGCGAUGCGUUGAGCUAACCGGUACUAAUGAACCGUGAGGCUUAACCUU